CACGACGUCGAGCCACUACGGUGGUGAAGUCAUUGAUGCCAUGCUUCCAGGAAAAGCCUCUAAGCUUCAGAUUGUAAGGAAUCGUACCCCAAACCGACACAGGUGGUCGGGUAGAGAAUACCAAGGCGCUUGAGAGAACUCGGGUGAAGGAACUAGGCAAAAUGGUACCGUAACUUCGGGAGAAGGUACGCUCUCGACGGUGAAGUCCCUCGCGGAUGGAGCUAUUGAGAGUCGCAGAUACCAGGUGGCUGCAACUGUUUAUUAAAAACACAGCACUGUGCAAAAUCGUAAGAUGACGUAUACGGUGUGACGCCUGCCCGGUGCCGGAAGGUUAAUUGAUGGGGUUAGACUUCGGUCGAAGCUCUUGAUCGAAGCCCCGGUAAACGGCGGCCGUAACUAUAACGGUCCUAAGGUAGCGAAAUUCCUUGUCGGGUAAGUUCCGACCUGCACGAAUGGCGUAAUGAUGGCCACGCUGUCUCCACCCGAGACUCAGUGAAAUUGAAAUCGCUGUGAAGAUGCAGUGUACCCGCGGCUAGACGGAAAGACCCCGUGAACCUUUACUACAGCUUGGCACUGAACAUUGACCCUACAUGUGUAGGAUAGGUGGGAGGCUUUGAAGCACGUACGCCAGUAUGUGUGGAGCCGUCCUUGAAAUACCACCCUUGUAGUGUUGAUGUUCUAACGUCGACCCCUUAUCGGGGUUGCGGACAGUGCCUGGUGGGUAGUUUGACUGGGGCGGUCUCCUCCCAAAGAGUAACGGAGGAGCACGAAGGUGGGCUAAUCACGGUUGGACAUCGUGAGGUUAGUGCAAUGGCAUAAGCCCGCUUGACUGCGAGAAUGACAAUUCGAGCAGGUGCGAAAGCAGGUCAUAGUGAUCCGGUGGUUCUGAAUGGAAGGGCCAUCGCUCAACGGAUAAAAGGUACUCCGGGGAUAACAGGCUGAUACCGCCCAAGAGUUCAUAUCGACGGCGGUGUUUGGCACCUCGAUGUCGGCUCAUCACAUCCUGGGGCUGAAGUCGGUCCCAAGGGUAUGGCUGUUCGCCAUUUAAAGUGGUACGCGAGCUGGGUUUAGAACGUCGUGAGACAGUUCGGUCCCUAUCUGCCGUGGGCGUUGGAAGAUUGAAGGGGGCUGCUCCUAGUACGAGAGGACCGGAGUGGACGAACCUCUGGUGUUCGGGUUGUGUCGCCAGACGCAUUGCCCGGUAGCUAAGUUCGGAAUCGAUAACCGCUGAAAGCAUCUAAGCGGGAAGCGAGCCCUGAGAUGAGUCUUCCCUGAUACUUUAAGUAUCCUAAAGGGUUGUCGGAGACUACGACGUUGAUAGGUCAGGUGUGUAAGUGCUGUGAGGCAUUGAGCUAACUGAUACUAAUUGCCCGUGAGGCUUAACCAUACAACACCCAAGGGGUUU
rnacentral:rRNA from 1 species